rnacentral:rRNA from 1 species
UACGAAGGGAGCUAGCGUUGUUCGGAAUUACUGGGCGUAAAGGGCGCGUAGGCGGUUUGACAAGUUGGAUGUGAAAGCCCAGGGCUCAACCCUGGAAUUGCAUUCAAGACUGUUUUACUUGAAUUCGGUAGAGGUUGGUGGAAUUCCCAGUGUAGAGGUGAAAUUCGUAGAGAUUGGGAAGAACACCCGUGGCGAAGGCGGCCAACUGGACCGACAUUGACGCUGAGGCGCGAAAGCGUGGGGAUCAAACAGG